GAUGAACGCUGGCAGCGCGCCUAACACAUGCAAGUCGAACGAUUAAAGCACCUUCGGGUGUGUAUAAAGUGGCGAACGGCUGAGUAACACGUGGGCAACCUGCCCCUCUCAUUGGGAUAGCCACGGGAAACCGUGGAUAAUACCGAAUACUUCGGGACUUCCGCAUGGAAGACUCGAGAAAGCUCCGGCGGAGAGGGAUGGGCCCGCGGCCUGUUAGCUUGUUGGUGGGGUAAUGGCCUACCAAGGCAAUGAUGGGUAGCUGGGUUGAGAGACCGACCAGCCAGAUUGGGACUGAGACACGGCCCAGACUCCUACGGGAGGCAGCAGUGGGGAAUCUUGCACAAUGGGCGAAAGCCUGAUGCAGCGACGCCGCGUGCGGGAUGAAGGCCUUCGGGUUGUAAACCGCUUUCAGCAGGGACGAGGCGAAAGUGACGGUACCUGCAGAAGAAGCCCCGGCUAACUACGUG
rnacentral:rRNA from 1 species